rnacentral:rRNA from 1 species
UACGUAGGGUGCAAGCGUUGUCCGGAAUUAUUGGGCGUAAAGAGCUCGUAGGCGGUCUGUCGCGUCGGCUGUGAAAACCCGGGGCUCAACCCCGGGCCUGCAGUCGAUACGGGCAGACUAGAGUGUGGUAGGGGAGACUGGAAUUCCUGGUGUAGCGGUGAAAUGCGCAGAUAUCAGGAGGAACACCGAUGGCGAAGGCGGGUCUCUGGGCCGAUACUGACGCUGAGGAGCGAAAGCGUGGGGAGCGAACAGG